AAUAAUUAAGUCAUAAAACCCAUAGAUACACACAUCUAAAUCACAAAGGAGAUGGCCUCAGUAUGUGAACAAGUCCAACAAGGUAAAACUUCGUGGCCGGAGUUAGUUGGGGAAGAAGGCGACUGUGCUGUAAACAUAAUUGAAAAGGAAAACACAAAGGUUAAUGCGCAAAUUAUUGCUGAAGGAACUAUCAUCCUCGAGAUAUACAUUUGCGAUAGAGUUCUUGUGUGGGUGAACAAAGAGGGGAUUGUCGUGAGUACCCCUACCGUUGGCUAGAAAAAAACGAGUUACUAUAGAAUCAUGCUUUGUGAUUCUAUUAUAAGACGUUUGUGCCUGAAAAAAUAAAGUAAUACUUGUAAUGUUAUUUAAGGUUCUUAUUUUGUUGUAAUAAAACUUCAACGUUAAUCUAUAAAUCUUCAAAACUAUAGAAUCA